AUCUGAAGAUUUCAAAGACCUGCGUACACAUUAAUUAUUCUCAUAGCCCUACGUGGAGGAGGGGAAUCCACAGAAGCGUCAUUUGGGCAUCUUCCUCCGAUUGUUGUUGCUUCACAUUGUUUGAAACAAGAUAUCUCUCAGCAUCUGCAACACGCCUCUUCGCCUGAAGUUACACACAGGUGACGGUGGAGCAAGAGGGGAGAUUAGUGAACCCAGCUGUUCUACCCAUUGAGAACAUUCCUAAGAUGAAAGGCCAAAUCGAAGGAUGACAACAGCCUCCAUAGGCAAGUGGACAGAAUUGCUCUUUCAGCAGUGGAGAGGGAGAAGAGAUUCUGAUUUUCCAGUCUAGCUAAUAUGGAGAAACAAAUCCCUUAUACGUCUGACAACAGUGUCUUAAGGCUUUUUUACCCAGGACAAGGUAUAAUCAGCUAUGCUGGAAUCUUCGGAGCCCCAUAUUCCCCUGGAGGCCACGGCAUUCAUGUUCCUCCGGAGAUAAAAACCGCUGGCCUUUCAAACGUGAGUAACACCGUCUGGGACUAAGAUUGGAGCCUCACC
rnacentral:lncRNA from 1 species